AAAAAAAUCUAAGUUGUGUUUUAAAAUAAAGUUUGUUAUACAAGAACAUCACAUAAUAAAGAUUUUUAAGAAAUAACAAUGAUUUAUAAUUUAAAAUCAAUAAAUAAAGUUGCAAAAAUCCAAUAUUUUUUAUCUGUGCAGCGUAAGAACCCAAACACCAAUCACAGUGAGUGACGUCAUACGUAAUGAGUGAUAAGUAAACACCACUGCUUUGUAAGUUAUUUCGAGUUAUUCUACGAUUUAUUUGCAUUUUUCUAAAAAUAUUUAAUUGUAAUUAGUUACGAAUUGAAGGACUUUACUCAUAACAGAAGUUGUCGCAAGUGCUUGAAGCCGCCUAUCAAGCUUUUAUCAUGGAACAAGGUUACAAACCGACAAUAGAAAUCUCCCAAAAGAUUGAUAUUUUCAUAGUGGGCAGUUCCUUUGCCACUAAUACCGACUUUUAUUUGCUGAAUUAAGCAAUGUGGAAACAUUUGUGUACCACCUAUGCAAUAAAUCUACUUACAAAUAAAACAAGUUGAUUUAAUGUAGUAUAAGUAAGAGAAUUUUGUACGACAACACUACAGCACCAUUGCCGACUUGGGUUUUAAUUUUGAAGUCAAAAAAUAAACCUACUAGGUUUAAAUGUCUUCUAAACAAAAUGUACGAAAGGUUCAAACCCAGCUGGCGAGGCGCGGCCAUUCAUCUGGAACUACAGGCACUUGCUGCUUGUUCAGCAGGAUAAGGAGCUUCGCCAGGUCGCUGAGCACGCA